rnacentral:tRNA from 1 species
ACUAUUUUGGCAGAUUAGUGCAAUAAAUUUAGAAUUUAUUUAUAUAAUGAAUAUUAUAAAUAGUA